rnacentral:tRNA from 1 species
GGGUAGGUGGCGGAAUGGUAGACGUAAUACACUCAAAAUGUAUCGGCGUGAGUCAUGAGGGUUCGAGUCCCUCCCUAUCCA